AUGAACGCUGGCGGCGUGCCUAAUCCAUGCAAGUCGAGCGAACAGACGAGGAGCUUGCUCCUCUGACGUUAGCGGCGGACGGGUGAGUAACACGUGGAUAACCUACCUAUAAGACUGGGAUAACUUCGGGAAACCGGAGCUAAUACCGGAUAAUAUAUUGAACCGCAUGGUUCAAUAGUGAAAGACGGUUUUGCUGUCACUUAUAGAUGGAUCCGCGCCGCAUUAGCUAGUUGGUAAGGUAACGGCUUACCAAGGCAACGAUGCGUAGCCGACCUGAGAGGGUGAUCGGCCACACUGGAACUGAGACACGGUCCAGACUCCUACGGGAGGCAGCAGUAGGGAAUCUUCCGCAAUGGGCGAAAGCUUGACGGAGCAACGCCGCGUGAGUGAUGAAGGUCUUCGGAUCGUAAAACUCUGUUAUUAGGGAAGAACAAAUAUGUAAGUAACUAUGCACGUCUUGACGGUACCUAAUCAGAAAGCCACGGCUAACUACGUG
rnacentral:rRNA from 1 species